rnacentral:rRNA from 1 species
GAUGAACGCUGGCGGCGUGCCUAAUACAUGCAAGUCGAGCGAACGGACGAGAAGCUUGCUUCUCUGAUGUUAGCGGCGGACGGGCGAGUAACACGUGGAUAACCUACCUAUAAGACUGGGAUAACUUCGGGAAACCGGAGCUAAUACCGGAUAAUAUUUUGAACCGCAUGGUUCAAAAGUGAAAGACGGUCUUGCUGUCACUUAUAGAUGGAUCCGCGCUGCAUUAGCUAGUUGGUAAGGUAACGGCUUACCAAGGCAACGAUGCAUAGCCGACCUGAGAGGGUGAUCGGCCACACUGGAACUGAGACACGGUCCAGACUCCUACGGGAGGCAGCAGUAGGGAAUCUUCCGCAAUGGGCGAAAGCCUGACGGAGCAACGCCGCGUGGGUGAUGAAGGUCUUCGGAUCGUAAAACUCUGUUAUUAGGAAGAACAUAUGUGUAAGUAACUGUGCACAUCUUGACGGUACCUAAUCAGAAAGCCACGGCUAACUACGUG